UCUUCAUAGAUUGUUUUGGUACCUGCUCUCUCAUUUUUUUCAUAGGCACAACUCUUUAAUUCUUCUGUCUGUUUUCAGCUUUGAAUUUUGGAUGACAAGCUCUGUGCUUAUACAUCGAUUUCUCUGCUUCUUCUUUGUAAAUCUUGCAGGUCAGGACGACACACCUAUUGGGGCAAUGUCGGGAUGUUUAGGCUUGGGUGGAGAUGUGGACUUAUAGAAGAGUGCAAGAUGUUGGGACCGGUUACUGGAAUAUGAGAUUUGGAACAAAAGUGGUGCAAGAGUCGAAACCAAGUGUGAAAUUCACAUUGAAAAUGAUUGGUCAAAAUGCUAAUCAUAUUCUGAAAAAUGUUGGGUUUCCUGAUGAGUACUCUGGCUGAAUUCAAGAGGCUAAUUUAGUGAUUUGCAGUUAAUUUUGUAAAUUUAUUGAAUGAAGUCAUUUGUUAUUUAGCUUAUCUUGUGUUUAGUUUGGUUUUAGGAGAGGGUUGCGCAUGAUCUGUAGAAUCAUAAUUAAGGGUCAGUUUUUCCAACAAUUUUUCUUUUUCUUUUUGCUGCAUGUUUGUGCAUGUUUGGUCUCUGAGAUUUUGUUUUUAGUCACUGUUGAUUUGUAGUUUAUGUCUCCCUUUGGCUACAUAUUGACACAAGUUUAUUCUUGGCAUUUUUUUGUUAGGGUAAGUGGUUUGGCCAGUUCUGUAUUAUCAUUUUUACUUAGUGUUGAUGUAUAAGGUGAACUCUCUUUGCAUCAACUUGAACAAACAUUCUUCUA